UGGCGGCUAGUUUAACAAAAACACUUGAUUUCGGCUCAAGAACUUGUGGUUAAAUUCCACAGCCACCUA
rnacentral:tRNA from 1 species